UACGUAGGGUGCGAGCGUUGUCCGGAUUUAUUGGGCGUAAAGAGCUCGUAGGCGGUUUGUUGCGUCGGCUGUGAAAUCCCGAGGCUCAACCUCGGGUCUGCAGUCGAUACGAGCAAACUAGAGUGUUGCAGGGGAGACUGGAAUUCCUAGUGUAGCGGUGAAAUGCGCAGAUAUCAGGAGGAACACCGGUGGCGAAGGCGGGUCUCUGGGCAACAACUGACGCUGAGGAGCGAAAGCGUGGGGAGCGAACAGG
rnacentral:rRNA from 1 species